rnacentral:rRNA from 1 species
UGCAGUCGAGCGAAUCGACGGGAGCUUGCUCCCUGAGAUUAGCGGCGGACGGGUGAGUAACACGUGGGCAACCUGCCUAUAAGACUGGGAUAACUUCGGGAAACCGGAGCUAAUACCGGAUACGUUCUUUUCUCGCAUGAGAGAAGAUGGAAAGACGGUUUACGCUGUCACUUAUAGAUGGGCCCGCGGCGCAUUAGCUAGUUGGUGAGGUAAUGGCUCACCAAGGCGACGAUGCGUAGCCGACCUGAGAGGGUGAUCGGCCACACUGGGACUGAGACACGGCCCAGACUCCUACGGGAGGCAGCAGUAGGGAAUCUUCCGCAAUGGACGAAAGUCUGACGGAGCAACGCCGCGUGAACGAAGAAGGCCUUCGGGUCGUAAAGUUCUGUUGUUAGGGAAGAACAAGUACCAGAGUAACUGCUGGUACCUUGACGGUACCUAACCAGAAAGCCACGGCUAACUACGUGCCAGCAGCCGCGGUAAUACGUAGGUGGCAAGCGUUGUCCGGAAUUAUUGGGCGUAAAGCGCGCGCAGGUGGUUCCUUAAGUCUGAUGUGAAAGCCCACGGCUCAACCGUGGAGGGUCAUUGGAAACUGGGGAACUUGAGUGCAGAAGAGGAAAGUGGAAUUCCAAGUGUAGCGGUGAAAUGCGUAGAGAU